AUUGAACGCUGGCGGCAUGCCUUACACAUGCAAGUCGAACGGUAACAGGUCUUCGGAUGCUGACGAGUGGCGAACGGGUGAGUAAUGCAUCGAAACGUGCCCAGUAGGGGGGGAUAGCCCGGCGAAAGCCGGAUUAAUACCGCAUACGACCUGAGGGUGAAAGGGGGGGAUCGCAAGACCUCUCGCUAUUGGAGCGGCCGAUGUCAGAUUAGCUAGUUGGUGGGGUAAAGGCCGACCAAGGCAACGAUCUGUAGUUGGUCUGAGAGGACGACCAGCCACACUGGGACUGAGACACGGCCCAGACUCCUACGGGAGGCAGCAGUGGGGAAUUUUGGACAAUGGGCGCAAGCCUGAUCCAGCAAUGCCGCGUGCAGGAAGAAGGCCUUCGGGUUGUAAACUGCUUUUGUCAGGGAAGAAAUCUUCUGGGUUAAUACCUCGGGAGGAUGACGGUACCUGAAGAAUAAGCACCGGCUAACUACGUGCCAGCCGCCGCAGUAACAC
rnacentral:rRNA from 1 species